ACAAUGAUGCAAAAGGUCUCUGAUUCCAGCAUGGAAGAUGUUGUGAAGUUCUCAGACUGAACAAGCGGCUGAUGUAAACAUCUCAGGCUGGGGGAGAAAAGUGAACGUCUUAAAUCAUGGCAUCAUUAUCCAGCAGCAUCAGCACUCUUCUCAUCUAAUGAUCUUGUUGCUCUAUGUGAGAUAAUAAUGCUACAGGAAGCACUGGAGUGAGCUGCUUUGAGAAGCUGAAUUCAAAUGGUGCCAUAGAGUGAUUCCUAACAUCUAGCACCAUUUGAAAUCAGUGUUCUUCAAGCUGUGUGGACAUCCAGCCUAAACACAUAAGUGGAAGGACAACAGGAACAAAUGAAAUUGAAUGUGACAAAUCUAUGUUUUCUUUGUUUACCUGAUUCUUAUUUUGUUAAUUAUGAAUAAAACAGAUUGAUUGUUAUCCAGUGACAUUGUGCAAACCUGAAAUGAAAGUUAACUGAAAACUU